CCUACGGGAGGCAGCAGUGGGGAAUAUUGCACAAUGGGGGGAACCCUGAUGCAGCGACGCCGCGUGAGUGAAGAAGUAUCUCGGUACGUAAAGCUCUAUCAGCAGGGAAGAAAAUGACGGUACCUGACUAAGAAGCCCCGGCUAACUACGUGCCAGCAGCCGCGGUAAUACGUAGGGGGCAAGCGUUAUCCGGAUGUACUGGGUGUAAAGGGAGCGUAGACGGCAGAACAAGUCUGGAGGGAAAUCCCCGGGCUUAACCCCGGAACUGCUUUGGAAACUGGGCGGCUGGAGUGGAGGAGGGGUAAGCGGAAUGCGCAGUGUAGCGGUGAAAUGCGUAGAUAUUAGGAGGAACACCGGUGGCGAAGGCGGCUUACUGGACUGUAACUGACGUUGAGGCUCGAAAGCGUGGGGAGCAAACAGGAUUAGAUACCCUGGUAGUC
rnacentral:rRNA from 1 species